CUCUUUUUUUAUAGGGCCCUCUCUCUCUCUCUCUCUCUCUCUUCCUCUCUCUCUCUCUCUCUCUUCCUCUCUCUCUUUUCCAUCUCAUCCUCUUUUAUGAGCUGAAGCCUUCCCCGUACGCCUUCACCUCUUCUCCGUAUUUUUGAGCCUGUGGGCAUUAACUUCUCCUCCUCUCUUCCACACCCUCAUCCUCUAUGUACGCCUCCACCUGCGACCCAAACCUACUCCGUGAUCGAAACUCUACUCCGUACACAUUCGCCUCCUAUGCAUCACUAGAACCAUACUUGCUCCAGGUGCGUCCAAUCUCUCUCCCACCUUCCCUAUAUGCUCAAACCCUAUGAUUACCUACAGUUUGUUCUCUCCCGAUUCGGCACUGUACCUUGCGAUAUCCCACCGAU
rnacentral:lncRNA from 1 species